UCCCUGAUGGCUCAGCUGGUAAAGAAUCUGCCUGCAAUGCAGGAGACCUGGGUUUGAUCCCUGGGUUGGGAA
rfam:TPA: Bos taurus chromosome 12, whole genome shotgun sequence.